AUGGACACUGUAUCCAGCAAUUUCACUGCUCUGGUGGAGAAGGUCUACUCAUUCUUCUGGGGGACAAGCAGCAGUUCAACAGCCAAUCAGAAUCAGACAGAGCCAUCAGAGAGCUGUAAUGAAAGUGACAUCCCAGUCACAAAACCUGCUGAAACAUGGGUGUCUGAGGUCCAGGAGGUUAGCAGUCCUGUACAAACCACUGUAAAUGCACAUUCAGGUCAUUAUGAUCAUCCACACAUCCCGAUACAGAACUCAAACUCAUUCAGUGAUGCUGAUGAAACUGCUGAAGUGGACAAGAUCAACAUCAUUGUGAAAUGUGCUGGGAAAACCACGGAAGUGGACAUGUUUCCCAGGGAAAGCAUCUCAGUUUUACUAAAGGAGGCCUGUGACCGGGCAGGGAAGAAACCAGAGAAAAUGGCACUGGUUUAUGAAGGUAAACAAAGCAUUCAUUCAUUCAUUGCUUGAUGUUGACCUGAUGCACACCAUGUCAUUUGUAAUGAGUCAUGAAAUGUAUUGACAUGGAUAUGUGAACCACAAAAGCAACAACUAACAACUUUUAUGUAGUUCCAUGAGCUGGCCUGCAAAUCAUUAAUUGCUAACCUUAUUUAUUUUCAGGAAACUGUCUGGAUGUGAACAAGACAGUGAGCUGCUAUGGACUACGAGGAGGAACCACCGUACAUUUGAUUCAUGCCUAGAAUCAUGUUUCUGUUUACAGUAUACCAGUACACUACUGUACAUAAAAUAUUGUUCGAACUCAACUGUAUUAUUAGUAGUUGUUGUAGUAGUAGUUGUAGUAGUAGUCAGUGCUCAUGGGUUAUUGUUAAAAGUAUUGCAUUGCUGUGUACAGUCUCAAAUACAUUGUAAUAUAUAAAAAAUAAAACUGACUUGCAACACUGACUCACAUAUAUGAGUUCAAUCAGACAGUAUUUUUUACUGAUAUUGGGACACUUUAUGGCUGAUAACAUAUUGAUUAUUAUACAGACAGCAAUAACCUCAACUGAUUGCCUAUGUAAACUAUGCAUAAUUAAUAUAGUGAUUACUGAAUUUGAUCCUACUGUUUUAAAUAUAUUAAAGCACUUUAAGUGUUUUUACAAUGUUUGACUCACUGUUUAAUGAUUGAAAUAUUGCCGCGGGUGCUUAAUAUGGAUUGCAAAUGGCCAAAACUUGCAUUUUGUUUUAUUAUGUUUUAUUGAGAGAUGAUGUAAAUAUUUGCGGCUGUAAAACAGAUGAAAAACUGAGAGGGUUGUGCUGCACUUCUAUGGAUGUUUCGAGCCGGUCACGUGACUGAAAGCGAUCAAUACCGUUCGAGUGCUGUUUGUAACGGAGCAUUUCAUUGGUUAAACAGACGGAACAGACACGCCUCUUUCACUGAACUAGCCGUCUAACUAGAGGGCAUGUUGUUCUUUUAGGUCACCGUGUUAACAGCAUUUAUUUAAAAUAGAAAUCUUUUCUAACAAUAUACACUACCGUUCAAAAGUUUGGGGUCAGUACAUUUUUAUUCUAUCUUUUUUUAUUCAGCAAGGAUGUGUUAAAUUGAUAAGAAGUGAUAGCAAAUAUUUAAAUUGUUAGGAAAUAUUUAUAUUUUGAAUAAAUGUUGUUCUUUUGAACUUUUUAUUCAUCAAAGAAUCCUGAAAAAAGUAUUGCAGUUUCCAAAAAAAAUAAAAUAAAUAAAUAAAUAAAUUUGGCAGCACAACUGUUGCCAACAUUGAUAAUCCUAAUAAUAAAUCAGCAUAUUAGAAUGAUUUCUGAAGGACCAUGUGACACUUUAUACUGGAGUAAUGGCUGAUGGAAAUUCAGCUUUGCAUCACAGAAAUAAAUAAAUUCUAUUUUAAAGGUUAUUAAAAUAGAAAAAAAAAAUUUUUAUAUUGUAAUAACAUUUUGCAAGAUUACAGUUUUUUAAUCAAAUAAAUGCAGCCUUCAUGAGCAUAAGAGACUUCUUUAAAAAACAUUACAAGUCUUAUUGAUCGCAAAACUUUUGAAUGGCAGUGUAUUUGUAAAAGCUGCAUUAUUUGGAAAUGACUUUGUUACAGUUACAACUAAAAUUGUGGCCCGUUCCUCAGACAAACCUGUAGAUUGAAUACAAUUAAAAUUUAAAAUUGCAUCAUACUGGACAAACUACUUGUACCUUUAAAAUACUAUUUGUUUUCAAAGGGAAAGCCCGUUUGUUGGCUGGCUGCUAAAAGAGAAAGUGCAAAGAAAGAAAGCAAAAGUAAGCAGUGGUAUAUAUAUUAAGCAAAAGCAGUGAGCAUUAAAAGCCAAGUGUGGAACUGCCGACAAGACAUGGACAUUGUAUCCAGCUAUUUCACAGUUCUGGUAAGUUACUCCAAUUGAAUCUUGAAAAUUUGCUGUAUUCGUUGUACUGGAUUUAACGAUGGUAAAAUGUGUAAAACAGUGCUGAGAGUAUAUAGUGGUAGCUAAAAGCAUUAUCAGAUUAGAUAAAAAUGUUAACAUUUGACCUUUUUAUUUUAAGAUUUAUUUUGGGCCUUUAAUUUAAUAGGAUAGUGUAGAAAGCACAUGAAGCGAAGUGGCGCCGACAACAUUUGACCUUUUACUUACAAAAUAAAACAAACUUAAAGAGAUACUGAAGGAACAAAAGUCAUAACACUUUAGAUUAGGGAUCACAUAUAAACUAUUAGCCUAACUAAGAGUUUCCCUCGAUAAACUCCUAACAACUGCUUAUUGAUAUUAAUAAGUGAAGUGAAGUGAAGUGAAGUGACAUUCAGCCAAGUAUGGUGACCCAUACUCAGAAUUCGUGCUCUGCAUUUAACCCAUCCGAAGUGCACACACACAGAGCAGUGAACACACACACACACUGUGAACACACACCCGGAGCAGUGGGCAGCCAUUUUUUAUGCUGCGGCGCCCGGGGAGCAGUUGGGGGUUCGAUGCCUUGCUCAAGGGCACCUAAGUCGUGGUAUUGAAGGUGGAGAGAGAACUGUACAUGCACUCCCCCCACCCACAAUUCCUGCCGGCCCGAGACUCGAACUCACAACCCUUCGAUUGGGAGUCCGACUCUCUAACCAUUAGGCCACGACUUCCCACAGAGGUAGGUAGUUGUAGGUAAGGUAGUUGUUGAAUACAGUCAUCCAGAAUAAGGCAUUAAUAUGUGCUUUAUAAGUACUAAUAAACAGCCCAAA
ensembl:lncRNA